GGAUGAAGGCCUUCGGGUCGUAAACUGCGGUAGCGAGGCAACAACUUACGUGAGUGCCUCGCGGAAAGAGGUGGGUAACUACGUGCCAGCACCAGCGGUAAUACGUAGACCUCAAGCGUUAUCCGGAUUUAUUGGGCGUAAAGAGCAUGUAGGUGGCUCUGUGCGUCUCUGGUUAAAGCCCACUGCCUAACGGUGGAGAUGCCAGGGAUACGACAGAACUAGAGGGAGUUAGAGGCACGCGGAGCGCACGGUGUAGGGGUGAAAUCCGUUGAUAUCGUGCGAAACACCAAUGGCGAAGGCAGCGUGCUGGGACUUUCCUGACACUGAGAUGCGAAAGCGUGGGGAGCAAAAAGGAUUAGAUACCCCGGUAGUCC
rnacentral:rRNA from 1 species